GGCAGAUGAAAAUGAUGGACUACAUGGAAUUGGCGGAAAUGACUGGCAGAAUCCGUGACCAGGGAGAAGAGUCGGUGGAAGAAGAUUGGAAGAAAUUCAAAGAUUACUUACAGAAAUAUUGCAAAAUUAAUGAAUGUUAGAGUGAUGUUGAAUUGAAAUUAAGUGGCUUCUAGCUGUACAGGCUUUAAAGUUAUAAAUAUAUCAAGAUUAAGGAUUAGGAUUAAAAAGGUUAAAAGAAUGGAAAAAUUGGU